rnacentral:rRNA from 1 species
GACAGAGGAUGCAAGCGUUAUCCGGAAUGAUUGGGCGUAAAGCGUCUGUAGGUGGCUUUUUAAGUUCGCCGUCAAAUCCCAGGGCUCAACCCUGGACAGGUGGUGGAAACUACCAAGCUAGAGUACGGUAGGGGCAGAGGGAAUUUCCGGUGGAGCGAUGAAAUGUGUAGAGAUCGGAAGGAACACCCAAGGCGAAAGCACUCUGCUGGGCCGACACUGACACUGAGAGACGAAAGCUAGGGGAGCAAAUGGG